UAGUUGGUGAAAGUCCAACCGAGGUAAGAGCCAAGUCGCCUCGUAGCUGACAGGCAACUGGUGGAGAGAUCCUAAGGUUGAAGCCCUGUGACAAAGUAUCCCGUAAGGGAGCGAGCAAAUCAGCGGACCGUAACAUAA
rfam:Brevibacillus panacihumi W25 genomic scaffold Scaffold1, whole genome shotgun sequence.